AUACGUAGGUGACAAGCGUUAUCCGGAUUUACUGGGUGUAAAGGGCGUGUAGGCGGUUUAGCAAGUCAGAAGUGAAAUUCCCGGGCUUAACUUGGGCGCUGCUUCUGAAACUGCUUUACUUGAGUGCUGGAGAGGAUAGUGGAAUUCCUAGUGUAGCGGUAAAAUGCGCAGAUAUUAGGAGGAACACCGGUGGCGAAGGCGGCUAUCUGGACAGUAACUGACGCUGAGGCGCGAAAGCACGGGGAGCAAACAGGAUUAGAUACCCUGGUAGUCCGUGCCGUAAACGAUGAAUACUAGGUGUAGGGGGUAUCGACUCCCUCUGUGCCGCAGUUAACACAUUAAGUAUUCCACCUGGGGAGUACGGCCGCAAGGUUGAAACUCAAAUGAAUUGACGGGG
rnacentral:rRNA from 1 species